rfam:Trichobilharzia regenti genome assembly, scaffold: TRE_scaffold0038615
AGCCUUCUGUAUCCGUGCUGAGAUUUCGUCAGAGAUCAAACCGUUGGGGCUGAUGCAACUUCCCAAAUAAGUGAAGCG